GAGGAUAUAGUUCAGUGGUAGAGCACGUGCUUAGCAUGCACAAGGUCCUGGGUUCAAUCCCCAGUACCUCCA
rnacentral:tRNA from 1 species